rnacentral:lncRNA from 1 species
UCGUAGAAAAGGAAAAGAAAGUUUUUAUUUUUUGCCUUGUUGUGCAUUCAUUCUUUCAAAAGCUGUUUAGAGGAAAAAACAUUUUCUAUCUUCUCAUAGUAGUAAGUAGCAACUCAGGUGCCUGAAGACCCCAUCAUAUUUUACUAAAACUCUCCACUCCAAAAGAGCAUCAGUUGUGUGUAGGUGAAUAGAAAGCUGGUGUGUAGGCCGGGCACGGUGGCUCACACCUGUAAUCCCAGCACUUUGGGAGUUAUGUUUUUGGAAUAUGACUUAAGAAAACAAACUUUCCAGGUAACACGUAGCCGGUUCCCAUCUUUCUAGCAUCUCUGCCUUUGGCUGAUGUGACGCCAUACGUUCCUGACAGUUAAUGUUGGCUCUGUAGGGAUCUGAUGCCAAGUACAGUCAUAGCUCAGCCAUGACACAGGGCCUUCCAGAUAGGCCAGAUUCAGUGCCCUUCCCAACAGAUGCCUCUCCAUCCCCCACACCUCCCGACUCCACCAAAAUGAAGUGGAAGCACGUCUUGAGUUGCCCAUUUCUUCUGUGUCUGG